UUCUAUUUGGUAGAACGUAGAGUCGGUGUGUAGAAGCUGAAAUAGAAAGCAGUCAGAAAGCAGUCAGCAGCUUCUACACACCGACUCUACGUUCUACCAA
rnacentral:pre_miRNA from 1 species